UGGGGUGCCAUUGUGUUACUGGUUUUCAGUUUUUAAAGUCAAACUAUUUUGGAAACUUAACUAAAUUAAGCUUGGAAGAUGUCCUCCAGUGCCCUGAGUGCUGCCUGUCUGCCCAGCACGACGUUAUAGAGGCUGACCCAGGAGAACCCUCUUCCCAUCCCACCCGUCCUUUCCCUCCUACAAACACAAGGAGGAUAAGAAGCCCUCUGGCCCUCCGUAGUGAAAUAUUCCCCUAAGCCAGAGCCCAGACUUUUAAAAGAAAUCUCCAAAGCUUGUGGUCCUUUCUUCUGGAUUUGCUUAACUCCUGACAAUUUGCUUAAUCCUUUUCUUGGAGGUGUCAACAGCUUCCUGUGACCCCCAUUAACAGUGGGUGGAUCCACCCCAGAAUGUCUCAUUGAUGAGCCCCUCAUAGCAGGCUUUGCGGAUGACCCAUUUCAGGGUGUACUUUGAGGAAGACAUUAUGUUCAUGUGUGUCUAAAGCAAGCGUCUGGAAUGUAUCCCGGUGUUCAUUCGUCUAACGGUCCCAAGCAUUUACACUGUCAGUUUCUGUUGCCACGCUUGUCAGUGCCACCAUCAGUACUGACUCACUCAGGGACCUUGUGUAAACCACUGGCGUCAAUACUCUGUGGCUCCUGCCAAACAAAUGCUAGGUAGCUCUUCUGGGAAGAGUCGUAUUUCUGACUGCAGCUGGCCAUUCAUCAAGCGUCUGGAAUUGGCCCUAAUCUUGUCUGUUGGCCCCGGAUAUGCCAUCUUCCCGCUCUGAUUAAGCUUUCCCAUCCCACACCUCAUUGCCUCCUCAUCCACAUUCCUCUGCCCAAUCUUUAUUUCAGGAGAUAUCAUUGUUCUCCAAUCUCAUAUAAUUACCAUUCCAGUGUGACUCAACAGUAUCCAAUGAAGCCCUGAAAAAUAUUCCUUGGAACAGAAAGGACUGGGGGAGUCAUUCAAUCAUAGCAAGGUAGAGUUGCCAGGGACCUUGAGCUCACCGUGUCCAGCUCCCCCCUCCUCCCACAUGGACAACUGAGGCACGGGGGGUUAUCUGACUUGCCAAAGAUCUUAACAGCAAACAAAGCCUCUCAGUGGAAUUAGACAUACAGAGAUAAAAGUAUGGGAGGGAUAGAGGUAUUCUGAGGACAAUGGAAAGAACUGCAAGUUCUGAUAAGUAUUUUGGACUUCCAACAGAUAAUCAGCAGCUGGCCUCUGUCUCCACUGAGGAUAAGAUAUGGAGAUAAAUGGGGAAUGGUGGAGACCCCUUUCUGGACUCUAAGCAAGGGUGGUGCCCCUGUCAGGGGCAGAGGAGUGGCAGGGUGAGGUGGGGGAGCCCUGGACGAUAUCGCGCAAUGUCUGACAGCAAGAGCGGCGUCCCGUGUACCAGGUGCCCGCUGCCUGUGUGGCUGAGCGGGCCCCGAGUGCUCUCCCUGAAACCUCUCAAGGGGUUCGCUUAUCUGAUUACAAGUUCUGCCGCUGGGAAAUGAACAGCAGGGACGGAUGGGUCUCUAAACAGAAGAAAUCUGAUUUUCCUGCAACAUCCCUGCGAAAUCAAAGCAUGUAAGAAUCAUCAAGACAGGAAAAUCCUGCUUCUAUCUUCAUCAACCCAUUUUGGAAAAAUGACUUAAAUCUUGGCCACUAUAGAUAGCUUUGUAUAUCCUAUAUGGAUUGCUUUAGAGGUCAAGCAUACAGAAGGCAGCAUUUAAUUUUCAAGUUCUGAAGGAUCUGAAGAUGGCCCAGUCCUGUUUCCUCCUCCACCACCUUUUUUUCAUCAUUUAUAUAUUUUGAAACAUAUGUAAGCGUCCUCUGUCUGUUUUCCAUGCAGCGCUCUGAAGAUGAGUUUCAACAUUGUUUCAUUCUCUGCGGAGUGUAAACUCCUGGAAGGCAGGGAUUGUAUUUUAUGUUAGAUGAAUGCCAGGAUUUUUCUUUAUUCCUGCAAAUCCUAGAUCAGUGCCUUUGACAGCAUGGAAACUGAAUACAAGUUUACUGUACUUAGACUGAAUUUAAUAAAAAUAAGGAUCAUUGUGUGACUAUA